UAGAUAGCAUAGUUUUAUUGUCCGAAUAUAUCACCACAAAUAGGGGUGAUAUAUUUUUAAUUAAUAAUGAUGAUAAUAAUAAUAAUAAACUAUUGGUAUUUGGGACAUGUAGCAUGUUAAAGCUCAUAGAAACGUGUGAUAAUGAUACCAUAUAUAUGGAUGGUACAUUUUACGUUGUACCACGACUAUAUUACCAGUUGUAUACAAUUCACGUCUUGUAUCAGGAGACAAUGAUACCUAUUGUAUAUGCCCUCCUUCCCGACAAAACAAGAGCCACCUAUAUAGAUUUAUUUCAAAUUAUUCUAAGGUGCUGCGCCGAGAAUAAUAUCAUAUUUAAUCCUAGAUACGGGCAGACUGAUUUUGAGGCGGCUGCAAUAUCAGCUCUAGGAUUUGUUUUUCCUAAUAUGGUGAUUAAAGGCUGUUUCUUCCAUUUUUCGCAAGCCAUAUGGCGAAAUGUCAGGCAUUAGGCUUAACAGUAGAAUAUAGGGACAAUUCUACUGUUCACAAAGUAGUCAGACGUAUGACUACCUUACCCUUUUGCCGUGAGGAAGAUAUCUCCCGAGUACGAUCAUCGUGUCUUGCCAUGUCAGUUGAAAAUCCUCUGCUAUUAAAUUUUAUGCAAUAUAUGGAUCUGACAUGGCUUUCCAUUAAUGCUUUAUUUCCCCAUAGCAUAUGGACUAGAUAUCAAGUCAAUGGUCCUAGAACAAAUAACCAUUUAGAGGGCUAUCAUCAUAGCAUCAAAAGAAAAACGUUAUGUGCCCAUCCUAACAUUUAUUCUUUAAUUAACAUUUUAAAAAGACAUCAACACGCUUCUGAG